AGGGGAGUGGCUCAACGGUAGAGUAGUGGUCUCCAAAACCAUUGGUUGCGUGUUCGAAUCGCGUCUCCCCUGCCA
rnacentral:tRNA from 4 species